rnacentral:rRNA from 2 species
GAUGAACGCUAGCGGAAGGCUUAAUACAUGCAAGUCGAGCGGUAUAGUGACUUCGGUUGCUAGAGAGCGGCGCACGGGUGAGUAACGCGUACAUGACCUACCUCUAAGAUCGGGAUAGCCCUGGGAAACUGGGAUUAAUACCGGAUGUGAUAAUAAGUAUAAGGAUUUAUUAUUAAAGUUGAGGCGCUUAGAGAUGGGUGUGCGUCUGAUUAGCUAGUUGGUAGGGUAAAGGCCUACCAAGGCGACGAUCAGUAGGGGGCGUGAGAGCGUGAUCCCCCACACGGGUACUGAGACACGGACCCGACUCCUACGGGAGGCAGCAGUAGGGAAUAUUGGUCAAUGGACGGAAGUCUGAACCAGCCAUUCCGCGUGCAGGAAGAAGGUCCUAUGGACUGUAAACUGCUUUUAGCAGAGAAGAAACGCCUUCAUUUAUGAGGGUCUGACGGUAUCUGCGGAAUAAGCACCGGCUAACUCCGUG